AAAGCUGUAUUAAGUCAAUGUUCAGUUGUAAAUGUUUGAAAGAACAACCAUAACGUUUUGUUCAGAGUUACAAAUAUUUCAGAGUUACCAACAACUCAAUUCCUGAGGUGUUUGUAACAUUGAGGUUCGACUGUAUCUACAUUAAAUACCACAC